AGCGGCGGACGGGUGAGUAACACGUGGGCAACCUGCCUCAUAGAGAGGAAUAGCCCUUCCGAAAGGGAGAUUAAUACCUCAUAACAUUGCAGUUUCGCAUGAAACAGCAAUUAAAGGAGCAAUCCGCUAUGAGAUGGGGCCCCGCGGCGCAUUAGCUAGUUGGUGAGGUAACGGCUCACCAAGGCGACGAUGCGUAGCCGACCUGAGAGGGUGAUCGGCCACAUUGGGACUGAGACACGGCCCAGACUCCUACGGGAGGCAGCAGUGGGGAAUAUUGCACAAUGGGGGAAACCCUGAUGCAAGCAACGCCGCGUGAGUGAUGACGGCCUUCGGGUUGUAAAGCUCUGUCUUCAGGGACGAUAAUGACGGUACCUGAGGAGGAAGCCACGGCUAACUACGUGCCAGCCGCAGC
rnacentral:rRNA from 1 species